rnacentral:lncRNA from 1 species
UGAUACGACAACAUGAUCCAAAGGUAAAAUCCAAGCCACGCAGGAGAAGGGAAGGGGCAGCCCGGGCCCGAGACUAAGCAUCACUUGUCUUGUUUGGCGCUGGCCACGUUCCGGGUGGCUGGUGCCCUGGCACUGGGGACCACAGGGGCUGGCUGGCAGGAUCUGAACUGCUCCUUCCUUCCAACACUGAGGCGCCACUGAGCAGUGACCUGGGGGUGGCUGCUGGCCUUGGGAGGCUGUCACCGGGAAAUCCGAGCUUUUCUUUGGGACCGUCUUUGGAACUGGUCUAGCUUUCAGUGUGGUCCUUCAUGAGCUCAGAGUUCAGUACUGAAUGGAGUCUUCGGAGACGAUGGGGCCUGGAAGGUCUUCAGUGUGAGCAGUGGAUGUCACCGCAGAUCCAGGGUGGUCUUGGAGAUGCUCCCUGGAGUGUGUUGGAGCAGCUGAGGGCACUGCAGUUGUCCCAGCGUGGCCUAGCUUAACGCCCUGGCUGGCUGGCGAGCUGGUGGGUGGCCACCCCUUGUGUGUUGCAGAGAGUCUCAAGGACAGUGGCUUCAGGCUUGCCAUAAUCCAGCGUGAGUCCCUUUUCCUGGUUGUGGUUGGAUCUUUUGAGGUCACUCCCAGUGCAUCAUAAUAAACCUGCGUCAUCAGUGGUUGGGGGGUUGAUCUUCCUCUGUAUUGUGUUGGGGACUGUUAGACUCUUAAGGUGUAAGUUCAUGGCCAAGGAAAGGAGAAACCUGAGCUGUGGUCUGGUGUCCCCUGUCCAUUGGGUCACCCUGCCUGUCUCUUCUCCUCUGUGUCACUGUUUUAGAUGGAACUAUUGACAGAGCCCUCUGGCUGAGCUGAGGAAGCUCCCACUGUUUUGGGGUACUGUACGCUUUUGUUUUUCAAUUUGUCUCAGGUUACUAAAUCACAGCACCGCAACUACCUCAGCUACUGACACUGAAAGAAUACCAAGCUGCUGGUUCAGAGGCACUCCAAGGUGGCCUCAGAGAACACCGAAGGAAAAUGACUGGGAUGCAUUUUGCAAAAGCUUCCUGCGAGUCACCAAAGGGUCCCAUUCACAAAUGUUCCUGUGUCGGCUGCUCUUCAUUAGAGAGAGACUCCCUUCAGCGCUUCUCUGUGACCACAAAUAUGAAGCCGCUGACCACGGGCUGUUCUCUUGAGGAGAAUUCCUGUGUGCCUUGCUGAGUCAGCAAGCAGCCCCCAGCAGACCCUUGGCCCAGAGACAGCAGAGGGCCGCACAUUUAUCAGCGCUCUAACGAGGCCUCAGAUUCUUCUUUCCUUGCCAAAAAGAACAAGAGAAAAUGCAGCCUGGUCAAAGAGGCAGAAGUGGGGAAAUCCCUUCCCUCAGAAAAACGAAGUGCAUGAGUUUCCAGCGAGGUCUGGAGGCUGCAGCUUGCGGAUCUGGUCUGGGUUCAUCCCACUUAAAUAUAUUCUUUUGGUGUUUGCCCAGAUUCUUACUCAGGCCAGCAUUUUGGCUGAUGGCCUUGAAGAAGAGGAAUGAACAGGACAUUCAUGUCAGCCUGGGGACAGCGGCUUCUGGUGCUGUGGCCACAGAUCCCCAUGAGCACAAGUCCCUGCAGUGCCUGGUCCCCCCACCAGGCACCAACUCUUCUCCUGGAGCAUGACUCGUGGUGCUCAGCUUCUGCCAUGGAAUUUAAACUCUGUGCCAUCAGUGUUAUUUUUUCCUCCAGCUAAAAAUUUUUAGUCAUCAACGUGGGUGGCCCUUUACAACAUAAUAGCUAUAAGAAUGUGACUGAUUUACAGAAUCCAGUAGACAUUAUCACCAAAGGAGUAAAAUGACAUUUGCUUCUAGACGUUUGUUGUUACAAGAUGACUCAAGCGCCAUCCUUAGGUCGCUAGGUGAUAUCUUUGGAGGUUGCUCAUAGCUUUGGGAAACACGUCCGCACCAAUUUGCUUUUAUCAGCUCCCUCAGAUUUUCCCUCUUUCUGCCUCUGGAAGGAGGCUUCAUGAAACCUUCCCAAUAGUCCUCCUCAGGAUUGCUUUGGAAAGGAAGCCAACAUGGCUUCAUGCAUGGGUGAUUCCACAGCUCGGAGCUGAGGGGUCAGGACAGCCACUCACACUGAGGAUUGUGGGGGUUGGAGUUGGUAGAUAGGGGACAUGUACCCUCCUCCUCAGGACAGCAAUGUGACUCCCUCCUUAAGAUUUGGCUGGGUAUCUAAGAUGCUCUGGUGGGUCUAAUACCCAGCCAGACUAGCGGGGUCUAAUACCCAGCCAGACUAGCGGGGUCUAGGCUAUGCACAGAGGAAGUGACAUAAGUGAGGCCCUGGGAAGGACAGUACUCCAUGAAGAAGUGACAUCAGGCAGACCCUGACAAGGGGAUAGGGCUCCGUGAGUGUGUGGUUGACCUUGUGCUCAGGGUGAAAUGAUGCCGGAAUGCAGAGCUGCUGUCUCCACUCAUCUCAAACAAAAAUAGGCACAUCCAUCCACACCCCAGCUCCCACCGGCAGGUGGAAGAUUUAUUUCCUAAGUAUGGUCAGCGUCGCUCUGUUUGCACCAGGGCAUCCCUGUUCUCUGAGCAUGCUGUGCAAGCUCUUGGGUAAGGAGACAGGGUGCUGCCAAGAUCCCUCUGGGUUCUAGAUGGAGUUGCCCAAGUGGAACUUCUGCAAGGCUCAGAAACGCAGGUGGUCUCCAGCUCACAGAGCCUCUGCCCCCUCCGUGAUGACAGCUUGACAUCAAGAUGGAGUGCUGUGGGCCGGAUGCUGCCAGCUCCCUGGGACAGCAUGAGGGGUGGCCGUGCCAGAAGAUCUGUGUUUGGGUAUGCCAGCUCCUUUGCUGGAGAUGACUGGUGCUUUGUGUUUAUUGGAAUAUCAUUUCCACGUUGUUGUUGUUUUUUAAAUUAAGUCAGCUAUGUUGAGCUCCCCCAAGUUCUUGGUUCCACAGACCAAGGAGUAGUAAAUAGCAGGAGUGUCACUGAACCCCACAGUGGGGAGCUGGGCUCUGGUCUUGUUUCUUGAAUGGACAGGAAGAUGGAGCAGGCAGAAACUCAUCUCUCCCAAGGUACAAUGAGAGAAUUAGUUAUUCAGA